UAAUAAGAAGCAAAAAAUUGCAUUUUAAUUUCGACUUAAAAUUUUUGAUAAUUAUAUCCUUAUUUU
rnacentral:tRNA from 1 species